rnacentral:lncRNA from 1 species
CAUGUGGUGUGAGGAACACCCCCCACAUGAACAUAGUUCAUGUACUUCUAAUUUGUGAGCAUGUGUUUGUGGUGGAUGAGCUCCCUACUUGAGUGAUCUAAAUAGAUGCAAUAUUUAGUGUUGUGCAAGAACAUGUUUUGAUGUGUGUGUGUGUGUGGGACACCCCACCUUUGCAAGCAAAGCUAUGCACCUUCACAUGUCCAUAUG